GAUGAACGCUGGCGGCGUGCCUAAUACAUGCAAGUCGAGCGAACGGACGAGAAGCUUGCUUCUCUGAUGUUAGCGGCGGACGGGUGAGUAACACGUGGAUAACCUACCUAUAAGACUGGGAUAACUUCGGGAAACCGGAGCUAAUACCGGAUAAUAUUUUGAACCGCAUGGUUCAAAAGUGAAAGACGGUCUUGCUGUCACUUAUAGAUGGAUCCGCGCUGCAUUAGCUAGUUGGUAAGGUAACGGCUUACCAAGGCAACGAUGCAUAGCCGACCUGAGAGGGUGAUCGGCCACACUGGAACUGAGCCACGGUCCAGACUCCUACGGUAGGCAGCAGUAGGGAAUCUUCCGCAAUGGGCGAAAGCCUGACGGAGCAACGCCGCGUGAGUGAUGAAGGUCUUCGGAUCGUAAAACUCUGUUAUUAGGGAAGAACAUAUGUGUAAGUAACUGUGCACAUCUUGACGGUACCUAAUCAGAAAGCCACGGCUAACUACGUG
rnacentral:rRNA from 1 species